rnacentral:rRNA from 1 species
UAGGGAAUCUUCGGCAAUGGGGGGAACCCUGACCGAGCAACGCCGCGUGAGUGAAGAAGGUUUUCGGAUCGUAAAGCUCUGUUGUUAAGGAAGAACGAGUGUGAGAAUGGAAAGUUCAUGCUGUGACGGUACUUAACCAGAAAGGGACGGCUAACUACGUGCCAGCAGCCGCGGUAAUACGUAGGUCCCGAGCGUUGUCCGGAUUUAUUGGGCGUAAAGCGAGCGCAGGCGGUUAGAAAAGUCUGAAGUGAAAGGCAGUGGCUCAACCAUUGUAGGCUUUGGAAACUGUGUAACUUGAGUGCAGAAGGGGGGAGUGGAAUUCCAUGGGUAGCGGUGAAAUGCGUAGAUAUAUGGAGGAACACCGGUGGCGAAAGCGGCUCUCUGGUCUGUAACUGACGCUGAGGCUCGAAAGCGUGGGGAGCGAACAGG